GGCCGUGUGGCAAAAUGGUUACUGCGUUGCUUUCCGAUGUUUACGUAAUCUCAGAUUACGUAAAAUACGUAGGCAGAGACUGUGGGUUCGAGUCCCACCAUGGUCG